rnacentral:rRNA from 1 species
AGACAGCAGUCGCCGCGGGAAUACAGAGGGUGCGAGCGUUAAUCGGAUUUACUGGGCGUAAAGCGUGCGUAGGCGGCUUCUUAAGUCGGAUGUGAAAUCCCUGAGCUUAACUUAGGAAUUGCAUUCGAUACUGGGAAGCUAGAGUAUGGGAGAGAAUGGUAGAAUUCCAGGUGUAGCGGUGAAAUGCGUAGAGAUCUGGAGGAAUACCGAUGGCGAAGGCAGCCAUCUGGCCUAAUACUGACGCUGAGGUACGAAAGCAUGGGGAGCAAACAGGAUUAGAUACCCGAGUAGUCCCUGUCUCUUAUAC